AUACUUACCUGGCAGGGGAGACGCCGUGGUCAGGAAGGUGGUUUUCCCAGGGCGUGGCUCACCCAUUGCACUUGGGGUGUGCUGACCCCUUCGAUUUCAGGAAACUCAACUUUAUUCUUUGUGGUAGUGGGGGGGGGGAACUAUGUUUGUGCUUCUU